UACGAAGGGGGCUAGCGUUGUUCGGAAUUACUGGGCGUAAAGCGCGCGUAGGCGGUGAUCUUUGUCAGAGGUGAAAGCCCGGAGCUCAACUCCGGAAUUGCCUUUGAAACGGGAUCGCUAGAGUCCGAGAGAGGAUGGCGGAAUUCCUAGUGUAGAGGUGAAAUUCGUAGAUAUUAGGAAGAACACCGGUGGCGAAGGCGGCCAUCUGGCUCGGUACUGACGCUCAGGCGCGAAAGCGUGGGGAGCAAACAGG
rnacentral:misc_RNA from 1 species